UACGUAGGUGGCAAGCGUUGUCCGGAUUUACUGGGCGUAAAGAGCGCGCAGGCGGUGGUUCAAGUCGCGUGUGAAAGCCCCCGGCUCAACUGGGGAGGGUCACGCGAUACUGAUCGACUCGAAGGCAGGAGAGGGUAGUGGAAUUCCCGGUGUAGUGGUGAAAUGCGUAGAUAUCGGGAGGAACACCAGUGGCGAAGGCGACUACCUGGCCUGUUCUUGACGCUGAGGCGCGAAAGCUAGGGGAGCAAACGGG
rnacentral:rRNA from 1 species